UACGUAGGGUGCAAGCGUUGUCCGGAAUUAUUGGGCGUAAAGAGCUCGUAGGCGGCUUGUCGCGUCGUCCGUGAAAACCCACAAGCUCAACUGUGGGCUUGCGGUCGAUACGGGCAGGCUAGAGUUCGGUAGGGGAGACUGGAAUUCCUGGUGUAGCGGUGAAAUGCGCAGAUAUCAGGAGGAACACCGGUGGCGAAGGCGGGUCUCUGGGCAAUAACGUGACGCUGAGGAGCGAAGACGUGGGGAGCGAACAGG
rnacentral:rRNA from 1 species